GAUGAACGCUGGCGGCGUGCCUAAUACAUGCAAGUCGAGCGAACGGACGAGAAGCUUGCUUCUCUGAUGUUAGCGGCGGACGGGUGAGUAACACGUGGAUAACCUACCUAUAAGACUGGGAUAACUUCGGGAAACCGUAGCUAAUACCGGAUAAUAUUUUGAACCGCAUGGUUCAAAAGUGAAAGACGGUCUUGCUGUCACUUAUAGAUGGAUCCGCGCUGCAUUAGCUAGUUGGUAAGGUAACGGCUUACCAAGGCAACGAUGCAUAGCCGACCUGAGAGGGUGAUCGGCCACACUGGAACUGAGACACGGUCCAGACUCCUACGGGAAGCAGCAGUAGGGAAUCUUCCGCAAUGGGCGAAAGCCUGACGGAGCAACGCCGCGUGAGUGAAGAAGGUCUUCGGAUCGUAAAACUCUGUUAUUAGGGAAGAACAUAUGUGUAAGUAACUGUGCACAUCUUGACGGUACCUAAUCAGAAAGCCACGGCUAACUACGUG
rnacentral:rRNA from 1 species